UAACUACUUCUUUGGUCCGGAAUUACUUGUUGCAUAAACUGAUGUAUCUAGAUGUAUUUUAGUGCUAGAUACAUCCGUUUGAGCGUCAAGUAAUUCCGGACGGAGGGAGUACACC
rfam:Triticum aestivum genome assembly, contig: Triticum_aestivum_CS42_TGACv1_scaffold_345224_4DL